rnacentral:rRNA from 1 species
AGUGAACGCUGGCGGUAGGCCUAACACAUGCAAGUCGAACGGCAGCACAGUAAGAGCUUGCUCUUACGGGUGGCGAGUGGCGGACGGGUGAGGAAUACAUCGGAAUCUACUUUUUCGUGGGGGAUAACGUAGGGAAACUUACGCUAAUACCGCAUACGACCUACGGGUGAAAGCAGGGGAUCUUCGGACCUUGCGCGAUUGAAUGAGCCGAUGUCGGAUUAGCUAGUUGGCGGGGUAAAGGCCCACCAAGGCGACGAUCCGUAGCUGGUCUGAGAGGAUGAUCAGCCACAAUGGAAAUGAGACACGGUCCAGACUCCUAAGGGAGGCAGCAGUGGGGAAUAUUGGACAAUGGGCGCAAGCCUGAUCCAGCCAUACCGCGUGGGUGAAGAAGGCCUUCGGGUUGUAAAGCCCUUUUGUUGGGAAAGAAAAGCAGCAGGUUAAUACCCCGCUGUUCUGACGGUACCCAAAGAAUAAGCACCGGCUAACUUCGUG